UACGGAGGGUGCAAGCGUUAUCCGGAUUCACUGGGUUUAAAGGGUGCGUAGGUGGGUCUGUAAGUCCGUGGUGAAAUCUCCGAGCUUAACUUGGAAACUGCCAUGGAUACUAUAGGUCUUGAAUACUGUGGAGGUCAGCGGAAUAUGUCAUGUAGCGGUGAAAUGCGUAGAUAUUGGGAGGAACACCAGUGGCGAAGGCGGGUUGCUGGGCUGAUACUGACGCUGAGGCGCGAAAGCCAGGGGAGCGAACGGG
rnacentral:rRNA from 1 species